CCAGGAUACACUUUUGCUUUCAGGAGAGGGACGCCACAGGGAAAACCACUUUGGUUCGACAGAGGCCAUCGAACCAACUUUAAGAGCACUGCGCAUCUGCUUCUGGUAGGAAACCGGAUGAAGAGACCUGCUUUGACUCUGACUUUGCACGGUUGCCAAAGAUGGCCCCACAGCUCUCUUUUCAACAAAUGACUUGUUCUGUUUUGGGGUUUAAUGGCCAAAUGAAAGGAUUGAGGUCAUGUGAGAGAAAGAGAUGUGCCCAAGGUCUCAACACUGGUUGCAAAACUGAAUGUGGAAACCAAGCCUCCCGGUGCUUAGGCCAGGAUUCCUUUUUACUAUCUGUUAAAAUUCUUGAUCAGCACGGUAUCUGCUGAAAAACAAAUACCCAAUCCCUUCUCCUCGCACACCCUGUCUCGAGGGUUCUUCCGACCCUUUAGGUUUUCAGUGUUGCAGGCUCACUGUCUCAGGGGCCUUUAAAAGAGAAAAGAAUCCCAUAAUUUGAAAUUUCAACCCUUGUUUUCAAUGACAAGAUGAGAAAAAAUAAAUCGUAUGAAAUCAGACAGGUCUUUUCUGAAGAUUUUAUUUCUGCUCUGAGCUGCUUCUGGGUCACCUACUGCUCUAAUUAUGCUGGAAGUAAAGCUGGCUUUCAUGAGAUUCAGGACAUGGCUGGAGGAAAAACCUGUCAGGAUUACUUCAGAUCAUCAGUGCUCACGAUGGCCUCAGAGCAUUCCAGGAAUUCAUUGAUUCAUUCCGUAAUUCAUUCCGCCGAUUAACCACAAACACAGACACACAGGGAGAACAGACAUCACUGACUGAUGUCGUCUUACUAAUACACCCAGGGCAGGACAGAGCAGAAAAACAACAACGCAUGGGUUUAAGGCUGGUCGCCUCCCCAAGCUCCUCACGUGAGCAGCGUGGAAGAGGAGGAAGGCUGGACUUGAGGUUCACAGCCCCGCUUCUUUCCUUCUAAGGUGUGCUCCCUACAAGGGAAGCAGUAACUCCAGGGCUUUCGAGGGGACACGGCUCCGGGGAGGGUCAGUGGAGAUGGCGGAUGGCACACUGAGAAGCGCUGCACCUGGGUGAGAGUUUUAGGCACUUAACACACGUGUUGGGCGCCUGUUAGAUGACACGCAGCACGCUAAACACCAAAGAUGUCAAGUUAAAUAAAAUACAGCCCUGCCCUCAAGAGGACGACGACGUGUGGCGAGGGCCAAUCCCUUGAUAUGUUCAAGAGAACCCAGAGAAAGUCACACAAAUAACAAGAACCCAAAACUUGCCACUGAAUUUCUAAUCCUUGGCACGCUCAAUGCGGUGCUUUAUUCAACGGACAGAGCUGGCUGUCGGUGCCUCUGACUCCCUCGGCAGAUGCCCAGGAUCCAGGAUUCAGCUUUCCAUCCAAGGCGUCCUGCUCAGGGCUGAGUUCUGUGCAGCC